AUAUAUAUAUAUAUAUAUAUAUAUAUAUAUAUAUAUAUAUAUAUAUAAACCUAUCCCAAAGUUUUGCUAGUGUAUCUGUGACUUCUAAAUGAAAAUGCACACAGGUUAUACAGACACAUAAGUAUGUACUUAUAGUUAGAGAGAUCCAGCGUCACACAUUUCCAUAUAGAAUAUGAAUUUUAAGUAUGGAACAUUCUCAGAUGACUAUACAGCAGCAGACAUAAUGGCAGUCCUUUGAUCAGAUGUGUUUUACCUUACCGCACACCGUUCUGUGAACUCAUUCCAUAUGUGAUACAUUUUAUAUGCAAAUAACUGCAUUAUGUUAGAUUGCCUGAGGUUCAAUGCAAAAACACACAUUAGUCUAAUGAGGCAUCAUGGUUAUGCAGCAGGUGGUAGUAGUACAGACACUGGAGCUCAGAUCAAAGAAGGACUGGGGAGGACGGACAACUGGAGAUGGAGAGAGAGAGAGAUUUCUUUGCUGGAAUGGUGAAGGCAACAUCCAAGGGUCAGGACUGAGGGCUAAUGAGUACAAAGCUGUCAAGUCAGGCACACUGUGGCCCAAGAGAAACCUUCAAAACAGGUGCAGUGCUUCCUGUAUUCUACCUUCUUCCCCACCUGCAUUGUCUGUAAUAAAGAGCUGAUGUGAGUGAGUGAGAAUCUCCCAGGGCUGGUCUUGGCACGCUACACAUGCAAACAAUAAAUGGCCAAAAAGGAACUAAGACAACAAUUUAGCUUCUAGUUGUGGUGGCUUACAAAGUGGUCUUGUGUAAAAAUUGUGUUCAAAUUGUAUUAAAUCCUUUAAAAAGGAUUUUAAAAUUAUGAGGUCCUGACAAACAGUCCAAAUAAAUUGAUCUUAAAUAAAUAAAAUAAAUAAAUAAUGUUCUUAGAGAUUAAAAAGUUCUGAAAUAAUGUAGAAAUAAAUUCUAACAAUUAUAUAAAUUAUGUAUAACAAGUAAACUUAGAAAAAAAAAAUAUUUCUUAAAGACACUGGGUUUUUAUUGAUUUUUUUCGGAAUGAAAGCAAGAAUAAAGCUGGCAAUUUAAUUAAUUAUUGAGGGGGAAAAACACACAAACUAAGUAGGAUCGUGAGAAAGAGAGGCCAGCAUUGAUUUUCCAAGUCCCUCAGUUUCCCUCUGGCGUGUAUCACACUCUCUGAGCUUUAGGCACAAACACACACCCAGAACCCAAAGGAUAAAGGCGGGGAAGAGGUUCUCAGUCAGGCAUGGAACAAACUGCCAUUAUGUGGAAACGGGGAAAAGGAAAAAGAGAAAUGAGUGCUAGAAAGUGAAUUAGAACACCUGCUGGGCCCUGGUUUUCAAUUACUCAUUAUAAGAUUUCAAUUUAAUAAGGUUAAUUAGCCACUGUAAUUAGUUAAAACGCUUUUAGUGACAAGUCACAGCUGCUAACUUGUGAAAACAUCCACAUUCAAUGUGCUUUUCUAUUUAGCUGUUCUCACUGCUGCUAAGAACUUUUUCUCUCUCUCUCAGUAUCUCCUAGUAAUUC
ensembl:lncRNA